UGUGAAUUGCAGUUUGUAAACAUUCAUUUUCCGAAGAAAUCAUGGGAUUUAGUUAUAUCUAUUUUCUCAUAUUGAUUCUUCAUGCUAUAAAUCCAUAGAAGAAACAAAGCAGAUUGAUUAAAUACCACUAUAAGCAGUUUUUCCCAAAUCCUGUUACAACUAAGUGAGCCUGACAUUUUGCAGCAAAGAAUAAUCAAGAAAUUUGCAGCAUAAUAUAUCAAAAAAAAUUAGAGAGGAGAGAAAAAUGGAAAGAACUUUCUCAAAAAAAAAUGUAGGUGAACCCAAUAGGAGAAGUUCAAUUUCAGCCAGAACAUUAAUUAUAUAACCUUUAUGCAUUCAGGAAAAUAUGGACGUGAAGAGAACACCUUAAAUUAGUUAGGCGAUACACGUUUACUCAAGUGCUCUGAAAGCUACACUAACCUGGCAGAAUAUGACCACAAUUCAGUAGUUUCGUGAGGCCUGUGGUGGCCAAGGUUUGAAGACUGAGUUUUCAAAGCUGAAUCUGAUGUCCAGUCUACAUUUCACGGUGACAACAACGUUCUACUUCUACUGCAGCAGGACGAGAUGACUGCUCCUGCUGGGUAUAACACUCUUGGUCGUAUUAUGGCGCCACUGGCCAGAGAAGC